rnacentral:rRNA from 1 species
AUAAUGGGUCAGCGACUUAUAUUCUGUAGCAAGGUUAACCGAAUAGGGGAGCCGAAGGGAAACCGAGUCUUAACUGGGCGUUAAGUUGCAGGGUAUAGACCCGAAACCCGGUGAUCUAGCCAUGGGCAGGUUGAAGGUUGGGUAACACUAACUGGAGGACCGAACCGACUAAUGUUGAAAAAUUAGCGGAUGACUUGUGGCUGGGGGUGAAAGGCCAAUCAAACCGGGAGAUAGCUGGUUCUCCCCGAAAGCUAUUUAGGUAGCGCCUCGUGAAUUCAUCUCCGGGGGUAGAGCACUGUUUCGGCAAGGGGGUCAUCCCGACUUACCAACCCGAUGCAAACUGCGAAUACCGGAGAAUGUUAUCACGGGAGACACACGGCGGGUGCUAACGUCCGUCGUGAAGAGGGAAACAACCCAGACCGCCAGCUAAGGUCCCAAAGUCAUGGUUAAGUGGGAAACGAUGUGGGAAGGCCCAGACAGCCAGGAUGUUGGCUUAGAAGCAGCCAUCAUUUAAAGAAAGCGUAAUAGCUCACUGGUCGAGUCGGCCUGCGCGGAAGAUGUAACGGGGCUAAACCAUGCACCGAAGCUGCGGCAGCGACGCUGAUGCGUUGUUGGGUAGGGGAGCGUUCUGUAAGCCUGCGAAGGUGUGCUGUGAGGCAUGCUGGAGGUAUCAGAAGUGCGAAUGCUGACAUAAGUAACGAUAAAGCGGGUGAAAAGCCCGCUCGCCGGAAGACCAAGGGUUCCUGUCCAACGUUAAUCGGGGCA